GUUUAAUUGGAAGUGAGACCCUGGAGGCACUGGCGUCUCAUCUGAUUGUGGAUGCUAAGCAGGGUCCGCCCUGGUUGGUACUUGGAUGGGAGACCGCCAAGGAACACCAGGUGCAUUUAGGCC
rnacentral:rRNA from 1 species